ACGGGUGAGUAAUGCUUAGGAAUCUGCCUAUUAGUGGGGGACAACAUCUCGAAAGGGAUGCUAAUACCGCAUACGUCCUACGGGAGAAAGCAGGGGACCUUCGGGCCUUGCGCUAAUAGAUGAGCCUAAGUCGGAUUAGCUAGUUGGUGGGGUAAAGGCCUACCAAGGCGACGAUCUGUAGCGGGUCUGAGAGGAUGAUCCGCCACACUGGGACUGAGACACGGCCCAGACUCCUACGGGAGGCAGCAGUGGGGAAUAUUGGACAAUGGGGGGAACCCUGAUCCAGCCAUGCCGCGUGUGUGAAGAAGGCCUUUUGGUUGUAAAGCACUUUAAGCGAGGAGGAGGCUACCGAGAUUAAUACUCUUGGAUAGUGGACGUUACUCGCAGAAUAAGCACCGGCUAACUCUGUGCCAGCAGCCGCGGUAAUACAGAGGGUGCAAGCGUUAAUCGGAUUUACUGGGCGUAAAGCGCGCGUAGGUGGCCAAUUAAGUCAAAUGUGAAAUCCCCGAGCUUAACUUGGGAAUUGCAUUCGAUACUGGUUGGCUAGAGUAUGGGAGAGGAUGGUAGAAUUCCAGGUGUGGCGGUGA
rnacentral:rRNA from 1 species